GGGGGUGUAGCUCAAAUGGUAGAGCGCGUGCUUAGCAUGCACGAGGCACGGGGUUCGAUCCCCCGCACCUCCA
rfam:Gonapodya prolifera JEL478 unplaced genomic scaffold M427scaffold_15, whole genome shotgun sequence.